GAGCGCCCCUCUGACCUUAGAUCUCUCUCUAGAGCUUCAGGGCAGAGACAGAAGAGCCCAGGAAGGAGCAGAUCCUAGAUUUGCAAGGUCAGAAGCAGAUCUGAUCCCCUUGCCCGGAAUGAGCCAGACUUAAUGAUGAUGCCACCUUCAGGAGCCACCACACUGAUCCCAGGAGGAUGAUACUUGAAGGAUUUUCCAAAGUCAUUUACUUCCAACUCUCUUGAAAACUUUAAAGACAUUGGGCCUGAAAAGUUCAGUGACUUGUCCAGGGAAACCCAGUUUGUUUGUGACAGAGUCAAAAGGAAAACAGUGCAGUUCACUUUCUCACAGGACGUGACUGUGGAGUUCACCGGGAGGAGUGGUGGCAGGUGGACUCUGCACAGAGGACCCUGUACAGAGAUGUGAUGAUGCUGGAGAGCUACAGCCACCUCGUCUCCGUGGGAUGGUACUCUCUACAGGAGUCGACCUUCACACAAAAACACAGAAGUAACUUUACUGAUGCCGCCUGUCUUCCCAGGACCCAGUGGGAAGGAAAAGGGAGGUUCUCUAGCAAAGAGGGUAGGUAAGGGUUGGAGUUUUCCAGCUCUCCAAGCCAGGUGCAGGUCCCAUGAAUGGGGGAGAAGUGUGAUGCCAUCUUUAUGGUAGCCUGAGACCUUUGGAAAACUGGGUCCUUCUGAUGUGGUUAGGGAAGACACAGUACUUCCAACAGCCGCUGCAGCAAGGCACCAGCAACAUCACAGAUGAGAUGAGGAACCUGUUACCUCAGAGCCUCCCAGGGAGAGAGCAUUUGGGCUCCUACCAUUUAUUGGGAUAACUGGUUCCUGGCCCUUUGGAAAAUGCCCAGAAAUCCCAGGGCUAGGCUUCUCAGGAAAAGUAACUUGCCAGUCUCCUUAAAGUAUGUAACUAAAAGCUAUCUACACUUUUAUAUUUUACAUAUACUGUUGGGGCUUCAUUUCAAACUGUUAUAUUGUAAAACUUUCAGAAAGCUUUAAAUCCAAGGCAGUGGCUUUCAAACUCUCUUGACAGCAACUCAAAAAAAUAUGUGACAUAAUUUUUAUAUAAACCGGUAUACACACAUACAUGCACAAAACUAAUACAAAAGUUUUUUGAAACUUUACGUCCCCUUAUUACAUGUAAUACACUCUAAUGUUAUCUAUUCCAUUUUGUUCCAGUGUUUUUUAAGUGCUUGUCACAACCCCUAGAAUUAUUUCAUAGUCCAUUCACAGAUCAAGACCUGUAGUUUGAAAAACACUGUUCUGAAAUUAUGGGUUUCAGCUACAACUGUAGCUGGUAGACUCAUGUUCAGAUUUUUAAAAGACUCAUUAAAAUGCAUCAUCAAAAAGCAGUAUUUGCUAAAGGAACCUCAGUCCCCAUAAAGAGCACUGUCUUGGGGAUUCCAGCCAUAUGUUACCGGAUUAAUAACCAGCCCUCCCUUUGUAGAACUGAGAUGUGAGCUCAACGCUGAGUAAACGUAACAUAAAAUCAGAAUAGAGUUGGAAAACGAGGACCAUCUCCAAAUGCAAUAUGUGUCCCUCUGGAAAACAUAAAGCAGCCUACAGUGAGAUGAGGGGAACAAAACAGAAAAACAAUGGAGAAAAGGUCAAGCUUGCAACAUCUAUCUCCAAGCUUCACAAGGUGCACAUGUACUUUCCAACCCUGGGAGACAGAGUGAUGUUCGGCAUGACUCCACUAAUCAUGUGGCCUUGAGUAUCUCAGCAGACAUCAGGAGUGCCAGGGCAUCAGGGCUGAGAAACGAGAAGUUACCAGACUCUACAAGGUCGGGGGCAGGGUCUCCCCCAGAAGAGUCCUCUGAAGAAUGGAGGGCAAGAAACUCUUGAUUGACAUCACAUUGUGCCAAGGUGGAAGGAAACAAGUCUUUGGCAUGAGCUUGCCAUGAGGAGAAUUCUGAAGCCGACAGGCUUGAAUGGCCACUCUUUCUUCUCUGCCCUGGUGAAUGACUGCUAAAGGAAUUUAAAGCCUGUAAAAUAACAAUACAUGUCUAUUUGUUGACUUGGCCAUUGAACUGGACGCCUUGCCUCCUUGCAGACUUCCAGCUGUGAACCCAGAUGUAAAAGCAAAACAAAACAAAACAACAACCCAAUCAAAGAAAUCUCUGUUUAGCUGCAAAGACUGUCGACCCGAAGAAUAGAGUUGACAUGAUGUGAUUCUUCAGUUCACUGAUCUGAAGAAAAGGAAUCCUUUAUUUGUGGCCGGCUAAGGAAGGCCAGUUAACAAAUGCAGAAAAGCUGAGAAAUGGUAGGAGAAAGUGGAGAAGCAAACAGGAGAAGAGAGAAAAACUAGACAUAAGAAAAGUGUUAGGAACAAAAGAAACAGCAAACUUCAGAGUUGGUGCCAAUGUUGAAGAAGAUUCUGGUGACCACUGUCACAUUGCUGGUCCCCAGUGAGCCACAUCUCCCACUAUUUGCCCUGGUCCGCUCACAGUCCCUCAGUUGGGAGUGUGACAUAUUUUAACUAACCAGAGGUAGCAGAGUGAUGCUGUAUCAGUUCUUGAUCUAAGCUUUAAGUUCUGCUUUUGUGCUCUUAUGAGCCCUGAUCUGCCUCAUAAGAAUUUUGUUACCUGCUAGAGCUAUGUGGAGAGGCCAUAGGAGAAGCCACAUAAGAGGGAGAGGCCCUGAGAGAAAAGCCUAGCUGUCCCAGUGUCCCAGCCAAGCCCAGUCCCCUGCUGACCUACCAGCUGGAUGAGUCCACAUGAGUGACCGUUGGCAAGAUCAACAGAAGAAUGACCCAGCUAAGCCCAGCCCAGAGUGCAGAAUUGUGAGCAAAUAAAAUGUUCCUUGUUUUAAGCCACUAAGUUCUGGAGUGAUUUGUUAUACAGCAAAAGAUAGCUGCUGGUAUGACAAUGGAGGAGAAGAGUAGGGAUCAAGACCCAGUGACUUUACUCUCUGGGACAGCGUUGUGUAGAGUGAAGACGCAGGCCUGGGACCAAAGCACGCUUGGUUCAAAUCCUUACUUUGUCACUUUUAAGCUCUGUGGCCUUGGUCAAGUUAUUUAAUCUCUCUGGGGCUUAGUCUUAUCUGUAAAAUGAGAAAAAUAUUUCUUCCCUCACAGGAUAGUUAAGAAAUGAAAUAAGUGAAAGUUUGGGGCACAUAGUAAGUAAGUACCCACCAAACAUUAGUUCUCUUCCACUUCCUCCCUGUGGUUCUCUCGCCCCCUGAGGGGGUGAAAGUGAUCCAAACUACAUUAACUCUGAAGGGUGGUCUGGGACCUGCUAAAGGCAGUUCUGUCACAGGUGAGUUUUGCACUGUGUGUGUGUAUUUGACACACAUUCAUUGUGUUUAUAUGAAAAAGAGGUAAACUCCUAAAAUACAACUGAUGGAUUUUUUUGAAUGAUGGCAGAUUUUGGGGCCACCGCUGGAGUCAAUGUGCAUUUGUGUCUACAUCCCAGACCGUCUAUACCUGCUCCUCUGGAGGACCACAGUUGCUUAUUAGACUAAGCGUCAGUCGUCAGGGAAUGUUGAAGUUACAUUCAGCUUGUUUUAUUGCAGAAGGCAUGGAGGCAUAUACUAUAUUGCCAUCAGAUUUUCAUGAAAAAGCAUUACUGUCUCAGUUCUAUACAAAGUUCACUUAGGCAAAAAUUGCACAUUUUGAGACAGUGCUAGGUAAAAUCUGGUGCUUGUUGAGUCCUUACCUUCAUCCUAGAAGGUGAUUUAGGGCCCUGGGAAGAAAGAAGUCCCAUAUUGAGUGUCUAAAUUAAAACUGUGCUGACACCAAGUUUCCAAGCCUUCUGAGAGAAAACACACACACACACACACACACACACACACGAAAGAAAGGAUUGAGGAGAAAAGGAAUAAACUUUCCCUGGCCUCAGUUUCCAAUCUUUAAAAUGAGAAAGCUAGACUGGAAGGUUCUCCAAGGUCAUUCCAGCGCCGAGUGCAGCGGACCUCUCAGAUCCUGUGCCUGUGUUAGCCCUCCAUGGACAGUGAGAUUGACAACACCGGUUGCUCUCCAGCAAAACUUUAAAUGCAGAGCUUUAAUUAGA